rnacentral:rRNA from 2 species
AUGAACGCCGGCGGUGUGCCUAAUACAUGCAAGUCGAACGCGUUGGCCCAAUUGAUUGAUGGUGCUUGCACCUGAUUGAUUUUGGUCGCCAACGAGUGGCGGACGGGUGAGUAACACGUAGGUAACCUGCCCAGAAGCGGGGGACAACAUUUGGAAACAGAUGCUAAUACCGCAUAACANCGUUGUUCGCAUGAACAACGCUUAAAAGAUGGCUUCUCGCUAUCACUUCUGGAUGGACCUGCGGUGCAUUAGCUUGUUGGUGGGGUAANGGCCUACCAAGGCGAUGAUGCAUAGCCGAGUUGAGAGACUGAUCGGCCACAAUGGGACUGAGACACGGCCCAUACUCCUACGGGAGGCAGCAGUAGGGAAUCUUCCACAAUGGGCGCAAGCCUGAUGGAGCAACACCGCGUGAGUGAAGAAGGGUUUCGGCUCGUAAAGCUCUGUUGUUAAAGAAGAACACGUAUGAGAGUAACUGUUCAUACGUUGACGGUAUUUAACCAGAAAGUCACGGCUAACUACGUGCCAGCAGCCGC